UACGUAGGGCGCAAGCGUUAAUCGGAAUUACUGGGCGUAAAGCGUGCGCAGGCGGCGAUGUAAGACAGAUGUGAAAUCCCCGGGCUCAACCUGGGAACUGCAUUUGUGACUGCAUCGCUGGAGUACGGCAGAGGGGGAUGGAAUUCCGCGUGUAGCAGUGAAAUGCGUAGAUAUGCGGAGGAACACCGAUGGCGAAGGCAAUCCCCUGGGCCUGUACUGACGCUCAUGCACGAAAGCGUGGGGAGCAAACAGG
rnacentral:rRNA from 1 species